GAUGAAGAACGUAGCGAAAUGCGAUAAGUAAUGUGAAUUGCAGAAUUCAGUGAAUCAUCGAAUCUUUGAACGCACAUUGCGCCCGCCAGUAUUCUGGCGGGCAUGCCUGUCUGAGCGUCAUUUCAACCCUCAUGCCCCUAGGGCGUGGUGUUGGGGAUCGGCCAAAGCCCGCGAGGGACGGCCGGCCCCUAAAUCUAGUGGCGGACCCGUCGUGGCCUCCUCUGCGAAGUAGUGAUAUUCCGCAUCGGAGAGCGACGAGCCCCUGCCGUUAAACCCCCAACUUUCCAAGGUUGACCUCCGAUCAGGUAGGAAUACCCGCUGAACUUAAGCAUAUCAAUAAGCGGAGGA
rnacentral:misc_RNA from 1 species